rnacentral:rRNA from 1 species
UACGAAGGGGGCUAGCGUUGUUCGGAGUUACUGGGCGUAAAGGGCGCGUAGGCGGUCAGCACAAGUCAGUUGUGAAAUCUCCGGGCUUAACUCGGAAAGGUCAACUGAUACUGUGCGACUAGAGUGCGGAAGGGGCAACUGGAAUUCUCGGUGUAGCGGUGAAAUGCGUAGAUAUCGAGAGGAACACCUGCGGCGAAGGCGGGUUGCUGGGCAGAUACUGACGCUGAGACGCGAAAGCGUGGGUAGCAAACAGG